GAUGAAGAACGCAGCGAAAUGCGAUAAGUAAUGUGAAUUGCAGAAUUCAGUGAAUCAUCGAAUCUUUGAACGCACCUUGCGCCCUUUGGCUAUUCCGAAGGGCAUGCCUGUUUGAGUAUCAUGAACACCUCAACUCUUCACGGCUUGCCGUGAUGAGUUUGGACUUUGGGGGUCUUGCUGGCCUACGAGCCAGCUCCUCUCAAAUGUAUUAGCUUGCCGGUGUUUGGUGGCAUCACAGGUGUGAUAACUAUCUACGCUUGUGGUUUUCCACUAGGUAACCUUCAGCAAUGGAGGUUCACCGGAGCUCACAAAUGUCUCUCCUUGCCAAGGACAGAUUUUGACCAUUUGAUCUCAAAUCAGGUAGGACUACCCGCUGAACUUAAGCAUAUCAAUAAGCGGAGGA
rnacentral:misc_RNA from 1 species